GCCGACGAGCCCGGGAAGCCCAGUGUGUACGGGGAGGGGGGCGGGGCUAGAGCGGCCUUGACAACCAUUGGAUCGCCUCGGUUUCCCGCGAGGCGCCGGGGGAACCGGAAACGCCUCGGGUCCAGUGCGCAGGCGCAAGAGCCUCCCUAUGGUAUAUAAGGGAAGU
rfam:Pteropus vampyrus cont1.92640, whole genome shotgun sequence.